AGGAACACAAGAUAUGAACUUAUUGACAUAAUUUUUCCGGUGAUUAUUUUAUCAAAGAACCCAAUGUUCAUAUGUACGGGUAUCAAUGUUUUAUUUGCUGGGAACAUCAAGAUUCAAUGAUUCAAGAGCUCAGAUGAAUUCCAUAUUCUAAAUAUAAAGGACAUUUUAGAAGAUACAAGUAUUUGUGGUUGAAGUCAAAGCCAUUGAGGUAAAUUAUUGCUAGCCUAUCUAGUUAUAAUAUUACAAUUAUAUAUUAAUCUCAAAUAGAAUGGGACAAAAUUGU